AUUGAACGCUGGCGGCAGGCCUAACACAUGCCAGUCGAACGGUAACAGGAAGAAGCUUGCUUCUUUGCUGACGAGUGGCGGACGGGUGAGUCAUGUCUGGGAAACUGCCUGAUGGAGGGGGAUAACUACUGGAAACGGUAGCUAAUACCGCAUAACGUCGCAAGACCAAAAAGGGGGACCUUCGGGCCUCUUGCCAUCGGAUGUGCCCAGAUGGGAUUAGCUAGUAGGUGGGGUAACGGCUCACCUAGGCGACGAUCCCUAGCUGGUCUGAGAGGAUGACCAGCCACACUGGAACUGAGACACGGUCCAGACUCCUACGGGAGGCAGCAGUGGGGAAUAUUGCACAAUGGGCGCAAGCCUGAUGCAGCCAUGCCGCGUGUAUGAAGAAGGCCUUCGGGUUGUAAAGUACUUUCAGCGGGGAGGAAGGGAGUAAAGUUAAUACCUUUGCUCAUUGACGUUACCCGCAGAAGAAGCACCGGCUAACUCCGUG
rnacentral:rRNA from 1 species